GGCCGGCCCCCGCUCCCCUAUGGCGCCAAAGAAGACGAGGAAAAAAAGAAGGGGGUGAAGAAGGAGGAUGAGGUCGGCCCUUCGACUGUGAUCUCUAUUGAGUUGUUGGAUGAGGACUGGGUGACUCCGAGGAGGAGGACGAGGGGUGUGAUGACCCGACCAAGGACGAGUUUUGAGAGCAGUUCCGCAGCUCCGACGACAAAGAGUAGUUUCAUCUUAUAGUUCGAAUAAGUAGUAGUUGAAUUUGUGUAUGAAACUAUGUUAAAUUUCAUGUUUGAACUAUGUUGAGGUGAAGUAGUAGUUGGUCGUUUUAAUCUUCGUUUUGGAACAUCUAUUGACAUUGCUCUUUUUAUUACAUCUCUAUUUUGAACCACCUGUUGGAGUUGAGCCUUUUUUCAAAAAAUGUAAAAAACACUUUUUGAUGCUUUAAAUUUAGACCCAACACCGGUUUGAACCAUUUAUUGGAGAUGCUCUAAACA
rnacentral:lncRNA from 1 species